rnacentral:tRNA from 1 species
GUCCCGGUAGCUCAGUUGGUUAGAGCGCAUGGCUGUUAACCAUGAAGUCGUAGGUUCGAGUCCUACCCGGGACG